rnacentral:lncRNA from 1 species
UGCGCGAUCGAACGACUUAGAUCCAUUCCCACGCGCACGGAUAACCAAGAUCGAAAACGCACACGGACGGCCCAGAUUGCAUCGCGUACGGACAACCCAGAUUGAAUCGCGCACAAAUGGCCCAGAUUGAAUCGCGAUGGACGGUCCAGAUUAAAAGCGAUGGACAGCCCAGAUCAAAAGCGGAUGGGUAUAAAUAACUCCAUCUGCACCCAAACCCUAACCCUAGCCGCUAGAGCUCCUCACCGGAGAAGACAGCCCAGCCAUUGAGGAGCCGACGGCCGCCACACGCCGUUGCACCGAAGCA